ensembl:lncRNA
GCAGAGCACCCGUGAAUUCAAGAGAAGCCAGUAUAAGCUGUAGACAUUCAGCCCACUUCAAAAUCAGACUGUUAAUCUUUAUUAAGCUGCAUAAUGAUGAUGACUGCUGAAGGUAUUAGAGGAGAGACUCUAUACGAAAAGACCUAGCAAGUGUGAUAACGGCCUCUCUUGCACAUUUUUAGCAGCGCAUCCAAAACUUUGCCUUGCAGAGCCCCAGAGUUUCCAUCCAGAAUGGAUGUUUGAUCUCGACAGGGGAAGGGAAGAAAAGAGCACUAGCAGAGAUAGCAAGAUCCCUCAAAGGAAGUUAUUUCUGAUAUGUACGUAUUCUCUUCUGAUGUCCUGCAACACGUCUACAGUGCUUACCAGCUGAGCAGAAUAACAAAAGUUGAGGACAAGGUAAGAGGCCACAAAGGGUCUUGAUGCCCAGCAGCAGGAGGCUACAGUCGAUUCUUAGUGCUCGACAGAGAGAGAAAGAGAGAAAGAAAACUCUGCUCUGAAGCUUUGCUCUAUGGUGAUACAAAAAUAAUACUCUGCCGGGCAGGGGGAAAGAGGAGUGCAGCAGCCUCCCUCGCUAGGGCAGGUAUGGGAAGCAGAGGCAUGCAUCAGCUGCGCCGGGGCAACGCAAAGCAAGGAGUAAGCCGCCCCCUGGACGUCUGCUCUCCUGAGCAGGCUUCGUCCCUGAAUCAAAAAAACCUCAAAUGGGAAAGAACGUACUAAAUUAGGAGUGCAGAUAAGCUGUUCUCUAGUAGUGAGCUACACAACUGCAUAUGAGAGAGGCUUGCAGCGCUCCAUGCGCGGACGAUGCUAUUGUACAUUUCUCCUGUGGGAAGGAAAGGAUUUAACUGUAUCUAGAAUUGUGAUCCUAAAAUCACUGCUCAGCUAUUGCUUAACUCAGAGGCACCUGAAGUACCUUAAUGUUCCCUAAAGGUCUACUUCUGCUCUUGCCUCAUUCUCACAUUACUGAGCACUAUCUCAUGGCAAGAUUCGAGGGAGAUUCAGCAUCUCAGCGCUUGUCUGUCAAAGACACUAGUUCCAGGAGGAGCUCAGAGGAGCGUUCAUGCGUCUUACCCAAGGCAAUCACGAGCCUUAAAGAAAGAGAUCAGACCUUGCGAUUUCCGCCCUCAAAUAACAUGCUACUCAUAAGAGGCAACAAUAUCGAGGCAACAGACUGGGAAGGAGCAGAAUGCAGAGCAAAAGACCGAGGAACCACGUGAGAAGCACUUCAGCAGAGUGCGUUACACGUCGGAGGUAAGCAGGCAACCCUGCUAUUGCUGAUGGCUCUUUUUCACAUCUCAGCUUUGGCCAAGCAGCGUGCCCCAACAUGACUGUGUAGAAGAGCUUUUUGUGACCUGCCCGAAACAUAAGGGGCACCUCAGCGUACGGGUCUGCCAGCGCAGUGUGCUGCCACAGCUGCCACCAACCAGAACAUCUGUCAGCCACCUCAGCAGAUACCGAGCGCUCACGGGGCCCAAAGCCCAGACGAACUUUCCACCUUUAAGCUACUAGAUUCAAGCUGAGGAUACACUAAGUGGUGCAGUCAAAGGCUGGGAAUCCAUUCAGAAAGCGAUGAUUCAUGGGAGGAAUGGAAGUGAAAACGGUAGAUGUAGCUAAAGUAGUCUGGAGCUUUGGGUCGAUACUGUGGAGAAGUUAAAAGGCUGGGAGCGCUCAUGCUACAGGAUUUUGGCAUUUAGCUUUCGGAAUACUCAUUAGCAUCCUGCCCCACCCCUAAUUUUUCUUCUCUUGAGACAACAGGGUUAUAUUGAGAACCGACAAUAGCAAACUGGACAGUCCCACAGUGCUUCAAGUCCAUCAAGUGAUGCAUGCGGCUUUUCUGGCAAAGGUGACAGAUUAUGGAAGAGCAUACAAAAGAGACAGAGCAAAGGCUGGGCUUCUGAGGAGCAAGGUCUUGAAAAAGCUUGUUUUCUCACCCAGACAUUCAGGAUAGCUUAAUCCCCACCACAGCAAAGACACAGCAUUUCAAAGCACUGCACGCUUAAAUACUGAGUUUCUUGAAAAAUGUAGUCACUGGUUUCCCAGGAGCGCCACAUCGGCGUUCAACUCCAGCUGAGGUCUCAGGAAAAGGCAGGUGCUCAGAUGGCCGUUGCCGGCACUUCCAGGGCUCCAACAUGUACCGUAACACUUACGAGAGACCCAGGGAAACCUGUCACCAACACUUGCACGCACACUUACAGCUGCUGCCAGGAGACGCGCGCGACGCAAAGGAUGGCAGAUAACCGGUCUUGAAUCAGUAAGAGAAUUAAUUUAAAGCCAUAUGUUUGGUUCACGUAUUUUAUUCAUCUAUAAUUAGAAAUAAGGUGCUAUUUUAAUUCUACUACUCACUUCUUAAAGAGUCUGUCUCAGAAAAAGCGUUCGGCAGUUUCUGCUGUGAUAUUUUUCCCUUUGGAGGUCCGCACAAGGCUAAGUGCUUUCUAGAAAUGCUCUUUUUCCAAACCCAAAGUAGAUCCAGUCUACAUUAGUAAGCUCAAUGCUCAUAAUAGAAAAAAAUGAAAGCACACGAAUAAACUGCUGUAAAUUUCAGAGCA